AGUAUCAGUAGUAGUAUCAGUAGUAGUAGUAGUAUCAGUAGUAAUAGUAGUAGUAGUAGUAUCAGUAGUAAUAGUAGUAUCAGUAGUCGUAGUGAUAGUAGAACAACAACAUAUUGAGAGCUGUUGUCUCUCUUCUCCUCUCCAGACUGGCAGAAGACAGAGGCUCAGAAGAGCAGUACUGUAGUAGUAUUGUAGUAGGUGCUAAUCUUCUCUCUCCUCUCCAGACUGGCAGAAGACAGAGGCUCAGGAGAGCAGUACUGUAGUAGUACUUUAGUAGUAUUGUAGUAGGUGCUAAUCUUCUCUCUCCUCUCCAGACUGGCAGAAGACAGAGGCUCAGAAGAGCAGUACUGUAGUAGUAUUGUAGUAGUAUUGUAGUAGGUGCUAAUCUUCUCUCUCCUCUCCAGACUGGCAGAAGACAGAGGCUCAGAAGAGCAGUACUGUAGUAGUAUUGUAGUAGUACUGUAGUAGUAUUGUAGUAGUAGGUGCUAAUCUUCUCUCUCCUCUCCAGACUGGCAGAAGACAGAGGCUCAGAAGAGCAGUACUGUAGUAGUAUUGUAGUAGUACUGUAGUAGUAUUGUAGUAGUAGGUGCUAAUCUUCUCUCUCCUCUCCAGACUGGCAGAAGACAGAGGCUCAGAAGAGCAGUACUGUAGUAGUAUUGUAGUAGUACUGUAGUAGUAUUGUAGUAGUAGGUGCUAAUCUUCUCUCUCCUCUCCAGACUGGCAGAAAACAGAGGCUCAGAAGAGAAGAGAGCAGCUGUUGCUGGAUGAACUGGUCAUACUGGUCAACAAACGAGACGCGCUGGUCAGAGACCUCGAUGCACAGGAGAAACAGGCGGAGGAGGAAGAUGAACACCUGGAGAGAACCCUAGAGCAGAACAAAGGCAAGAUGGCCAAGAAGGAAGAGAAGUGUGUCCUUCAAUGAUUGUCAUUUCAUUUCACACACAUAUAUAUAUAGUCUACGUCCCAAAUGACACCCUAUGUCCUAUAUAUUACUUUGACCAGGGCAACACAGUGCACUAUAUAGGGAAUAGAGUGCCUUUUGGGACACAGAUAUAGGCUAUAAUAUUUGUUUGAUCGAUACAAGAAUUGUAUUAUUAUAUUGACUAUUAUUAUUGUAAUUAUUAUUAUUAAUAUACCAUUAUAUUGACAUAUUGUUAUUAAUAUACCAUUAUAUUGACAUUAUUAUUAUAUUGACUAUUUGAGAAACCUGUAUUUUAUGUUUAUUAGAACCCUGAGAUUGAAAUGCAGUCGUUGUGUUUGUUGAUCAACGGCUGUGAUGGUUUUACUGCUAAAAAGGCUACGUCCUAAAUGCAACCCUAUUCCAUAUAAAGGGCACUCCUUUUGACCAGAGCCCCUCACUAUAUAGGAAACAGGGAGCCAUCUGGGAGGCCUUGAGGCUCGGUGAGGAUGAGAGCCCAUGAUGUCUUGAACCAGCUUUAUACUGGCAUGGAAACGUGUCCUGCUUAUACAACACACUAGAUGUUUCAUUCUGUUGUCGUUGCUUUAUCCAGCAAGGUACUUGUAUUUAAUAUACAUAUAAACGAUGGCAUAUACAGCCCAGUGGAAACCUACCAAGGGAGGGAUUGAAAUAUCAAAUAAUCAUGUCGUGAUUCUAAAGGGAAGAAAAGACAUGGUUGUAUCCUAUGUGUGGUUGGAGUUUUACCUGAGACCUGAACAUUUCAUUUAGACACACACAGCCUUCUCUGGCAGAAUGGUUCAAUGUUGAGGAGCUUGGAGACAGAGAUUCCUUUCUAGUGGUUUUGAGGUACAGCACGAGUUGUUUUAUAGGGGACGUUGGUGAUGAUAGCCAAUGAUAUUGUACUGACGUUUAUUGUUUCAGUUGGACUUAAAAAAAAAAAAAGAGUAUAAUUCACGAUAUCAGUAUUUUCAAGCUAUGUUUAUUACUUGACUGUGUGUAAUGUUUUUAACGGUAAGAUAUCUCAAGAUGCAGUUCAUAAACCGAAAAACUGUUAUGAUUUUUUUAGUUCGCUUGAAUGCGGUUAACCAAACAUUUCAGAAGAAGAGCUGGCUCGGUGAUAAGGGGGAGAGAGGAAGGGUAUGGGGGUAAGGAGCGGAGGGAGGGAUAAGGGGGGAGGGAGGAAGGGUAAGGAGCGGAGGCGGGGAUAAGGGGGGAGGGAGGAAGGAAGAGUAGAGGGGUAAGGAGCAGAGCUGAGGCGGGGGUCGUGUCCAACUAUCAUUUUGUAUAUUUCAUCACCGCUCUGACAAAUGGCAUACAAAAAACUUUUUUUCCCGGAUCAAUUCCGCAAGCAGUUGAAAGCAGAAUAACUUGUAUUUAUUGCCGUUUUAUAGUCGGUAGUAGGAAUUCUACGGGCUAUACGUGUUAUUAGUGAACCAGCAUCACGACACAACCAUGUCAUAUUCUUGCAUUUCUUGCUUUUUAAUCAAAAGGGCGUUUUGUUAAUAUUUAUUGUAUACAUACUGAAGAAGAGAUCAUGUGUUGCUUUUAUUUGUGCUUCGAUCUCCUGGUUCCAACAAUAGAAAUGUAAUUAUCAGAACGGGCAUAUAGCCCAUCAGAUCAUUCUAGUAGUUAUAUUUCUAUUGGUUCCACUACAUCCGAAUGCAGCUGCUGUUUUAAACGUGUGAACAUUUACCUGUUUUGAUUAUUUAUUCCACUGUCAUAACACAAGUCUUCAAUAAAGUCCUAAACUUUCAUACUCCA